GCUGGCUUGGGCAACAAAGGAGAGAGCAGCACUAAAAGUAUGCUCUGAAGGAUGAAGAUCUUUGGGAGUCUGUGUCUCCUCAAUGUUUUGGAGAUUUGGAGCCCACUACAAAGGAAAGCCAAGUGCCAAGUGCCUGGCUGUUAGUGGACAGCCAGAGAAAGCUUGUGGGGCUGCUACAUGGUGUGGACAAGACACAUGCUUUUAGACUACACUGGACAGUCUGUAGAGUCUGCCUCUGUUGUAUUAUACAAAACAAAGGCCUUCUACAUUGCUGAAGAGAAAACUUAAAGUGGAGUGUUAGAUAAAAGCAUUUUUUUGUGCCCCUUAAUUUUGUCGACUCAAACUUUUAUGCAAAGUUUGUAAAUUCCGAUUUUUUUAAUAGUAGCUGUCCUACUGUUUACGUACACAGAUUCAAGUGUUACUGGACUUGAAGCCACACAUGAAAAGAACUGGACCAACUUCAAAGCAACACUUGGGAACCAAAUGACACCAGUAGAAAAGAUUUAGCAUAAGAAUGUUACAUGAACCUUGAAACAACCAUUUGCAGUUCUGUCUUAAAUGUAGUUUGGGCCAUAAGAAAAAGCUAAGAUUUAUCAUUUGACAUUUCUGAAAAAACAAGUAAUUUUUUUUUUAGUUUAGUUUCUUGUUCAAAGAAAAGGCCCAAAUUGCCAGGAGAGUUUCAGUAGAAUAAUUUUUUAUUCACCUUUUUAUUCUUAGGCAUAUCUGGCCUUCAAAGUCCAUAUUCAAACUCCCCACUGAUUUCCUUGGGAUUAUGCCCUUCAAAAUGGAUGACGGGAAGAACAAACACUCUCCAAGCCUAUGCCAUUGCCUGGCAGUCCUAAGGGAAAUGCCCUCCUGAUCCCCACCAGGCAAUCCUCUGUCACCAUUUUGCAGGAUAAGGAAAAUCCCUUGGUUCCCAAGGGUGACAGAAAGUGAGAAAGAGAAAAAGACAGCCUGCAUGAGGCAGGAUGUGUCACUCCCUGUUUUAGACAAAGAGAGAACUACGGCACACAAGCAACCAAGGGGAGAGAAACUAGCAGGAGGCUUUUGUAAAGGAGCUAGAAUUUGUAGUGGUCUUACUCCAAGGUAAAUAAAUACAAAUGCUUUAAUAAAGUAUCUUGUGAUGUACUAACUGUAGAGUGUGACAAUAUUUUAAAAUGUCAUGUAGAUUGCUACGUAUUUUAACACUUUCGUAGACUCCUCCAGAGAUCAUUCAGAUUUGAAAGAUUUAUGUUUUGAACAAUAUGACCCAUGAUAAAUUUACUAGGGUGAUUUCAUCUAUUUAUUUAUUUAUUAUUUAAAAGUCAAUUGCUCUAUUAAUGUGUAUUUUAUUUAUUUUUCAUGUAACUUAACAGCUACUACCUGGAAGAAAUAAUCUUUCACAUUCAAGCUUGCAUUUUUCCAGUUGCAUUAUCU
ensembl:lncRNA